AAAUCUUAGACAAGUUUUUUGUUUUUUUUUCUCAGCAGACGAUUGUCUUUAUGGGGGAAAUCACAUUGGAAUUUCAAGGGAUCAUGAACACUGGGAAGCAGCUGAUGAACCAAUGGACCUGCCUUCAGCCCUGCUUGCCUCGAUGACUUAAUGCUCUGGAAGUUGGAGCCCUGGGAAAUGACCGAGCAGACCAGGAGACAAAGGAAGCAUGAAGGUUCUGGAAAGAAGAUUCUGCACUGCAUAUGAGUGCACAGUUACUGCAUCAAUGUCAACCAAAGGCGGGAUGGAAACAAAAGUGCCUCCUGUCGAAAUCAGCUGACUCCCCAGGGAGACCAUCUCUUUAUCCUUUCAUGAUAUUGUAACCGCCUGGGUGUCCUAAUGCAUCUUCAAAUCCUAGUUUGUACUCAGAACCAAUGGGGAAAGUUUUACAGAAAUUUCAUGAAACAGAGCAGCUCUCCUGAUGCCAAGGAUCUACAGUUACGGGUGGCCUCCCACAUUGAAUCAAGCAUGCCAUUACCCUCACUCCCAUGAACCUGUCUUUCAGCACGAUCCAUGACAGCAAGAAGACAAAGGCUUUGUUACAACAGAACAGAGCAGAGACAUCCGUGGCUGUCAGCUUCUUUAAAGCCAGUAAAUACAGCCGUUUUCUGGCAAGAGCACAAAUGCAACGCCCAUUGGGCAUCUGCGGGACUCACUGAACCCAGGCUUCCCUUCUAUGGGCCACCACAGGGCAAACGGUUCCAUGGAAAACAGCCCAUAUCU